AGUUCGGAUUGUAGGCUGAAACUCGCCUACAUGAAGCUGGAGUUACUAGUAAUCGCAGAUCAGAAUGCUGCGGUGAAUGCGUUCCCGGGUCUUGUACACACCGCCCGUCACACCACGGAAGUUGGGGGCGCCCGAAGCCACUUAGCUAACCCUUUUGGGAAGCGAGUGUCGAAGGUGAAAUCAAUAACUGGGGUGAAGUCGUAACAAGGUAGC
rnacentral:rRNA from 1 species